ensembl:lncRNA
CACCAACAUGCCCUUUGUAGGAAAUACCCAUCAGGGAAAGUCCUUUGGGAAUUUAAGUGGCUGUAAAUAUAAUUUGAAACCUAUGACUACCAUUGAAAAAAAGAGUUUUAGUAUGGGUUUGAAAAAUGGGCGACGCCCCUCCUUUUGUUUUUUUGCAACCGGAACUUAGAAUGAAGAUGAAUGUGCUAUAUUUUCCUCGCGGGAGAUUGUGCAUGGCUCAACCACUGAUAGAAUAGAAAGAAGCUCAGAAAAUAGAAAGACCCACGCAAGAUUAAAUGUGGUGGAGGGCGGAGGUCUCGCAGCCUGGGAAAGUAAGCUGCUUUGGCUCUGGUGGCGCUGCAGCUGACACAGAUGUUCGAUGACCGUAUCAGAUGAUGCUGAUUGAAGCGGUCGGCUGCUCCACCGUGGUGCAUUUCACAUUGACCUCUGCACGCACAGAGACCGGGCCGGCAGAAAGGCAAGAUUGUCUGAACUGUGCGCGUGCGCGUUGCCUACGUCCUGCCAAUCACCCGGACUCUGCCAACAGGCCCACCUGUGAGCAAUCAGCGCAUCACCUCUCCCGCUUCGGUCCACCACACGCUUGGCUACAACCUUUGCGUCGUCUCUCCUGCAUAUCAACCGCGGCUCUUCUCCCACUCCA